AGUAGUUGUCAUACUUGUCAAAUGUCUGUAGUCUGCACAAUUAAAGGCCUGUGGGGAGAAGUUGGGGAGGGGGGAGCACUGUUUGAAAGAGAAUUUACAAUGAAAGAGAGUCUUCUCUUAAACAAUCAACAGGACACUAAUGAGAACUCUCCCUGUGGUUCUGACGCUCUCCCAAGAAGCAAAAGACAAAAGGUUUCAUUGUUAUCUGCCUGUUAUCUUACAAUUCUUCCAAGUCACUCUGUAAGAAGGCUGAAACACAGAGCAUGUAACAAGGUAGGCAGACCUUAUAGGGACUCUUGUCCAUGGGACAAACAUUUCUUCAAACCUUCCUCAAGCACUCCUUUGAGAAGAGGGGAGGGAGUGGGGCCACGUAAAAGCUGAGUUUAGUCUUGUUUCUGCUCUAACAUGAUUGUGUAUUCCUUUGCAGUGUUGGAUAAAAUAGUUGGCAGUAUGGUCCCUUUGACUUAGCAUUAGCCCUUCGUGUAAGGGAUCUUGAAGUGGUUUCAUUUCAUAACAUGUUCCUCAUUAAUUGAUGUUUUAUUGUAAUUGUCUUCCAAGACCUCUUAACUUCAGAACACUACAGUUCAUUGUAGAAGAGCACCCUGGGCAAUACUUUGUAAGCACAAAUGAUUUGGUUUUCAGCCAUAAAACAGAGUAAUACAUCCUAUAUUGAGAAACAGCUGAUUGUGUUUAAGGCAACUUAAUAAGUUGUUUGUUAAUGUAGUUAACACCCCAGACUGCAUGUGUUUGGACUGCGUUCUCAACAAUGAAUGACUGUUCUGUUCUCUGUGAGAUUAAGGCAUUUUUAGGAUACUAGUUAACCACAGAAUUAAAUCCCAGCAGUUAUGUAAAGUUGCAUUUCUAUACUUGUUCAAACUCAAAGGUUGUUCUGGUUAAGUAGAAUAGCUUUCCUGAUUAUUAUCUCCCUAGUGGUAGACUGUUAGCUUGUUCAUGUUUACUGUUAAUCAAUUUUUAAAUUUCUGUUUAUAGGUUCUGUGACUUCUUCAAAAGAGGUAUAAGUGAGGUUCAAAACAGUUUUGUCAUUUGGUUAGUUUGACCUAAGUGGUAAUGAACAGCUUCUUCCAAGUGUUCUUGAUUACAGUAGAAUCAAUGUUAAUUUUUAUAAGCAGUUGUUGUGCUAAUUUAUAAAAUGCAAAUGAAGUGAUGUGGCUUGAUUCACAGAAAGGUGGAGCUCAAAACUACAGCUGUUAAUUUGAACAACACCCAAACACCUUUUGCAACAACUGACUUCAGGUUACAUGAUAAAGACAAAGUUCUAUGAGGGUGUCACAAUGUCUUGCUUUUUUCCUUAAAGUCUCUUAUUUUCUUCACAUUUUGCUGUUCAUUAGUUUUUACUCUCUGGGAGAGAAGAAAAGUGUUUUAGUUGGUUGGGUUUUGUUUUCUUUGGUGCUGUUUAACCGGAAUGGAAAAGGUGUUUUUGCUAAAAACCUCACUUGUAAACUUUUUUCAAUAGAGAAGACAGACACAUUUUCUUAUCUUAAAAAUAAAACAGAAACAUCACCAAAAAAAAAAUAAUCA
rnacentral:lncRNA from 1 species